AUCUUCCUUACGCUGGUAGAUUGACUGUACUUGUUUAUACUCGCACUUUAGAAGGAAAACAGUGUUAUUCUCUAGUCUGAAGCAAGCUUAGUAAAUGGGAGAGUUCUAGGCCACUGUUGCUUUCCCAGUAGGUUUAGAUAAGGGACUUUGUGUUUUGAGACUUUUUGUGGGAUCUCUUAGAAAGCAUCACUUUAGGGUAUCAAGGGCAGAGAAACGCCAUAGUGCCAGCCAGCUUGGUUUCUUAAGUGAUUUAAUCAAAUCCAUACUCCUGAUUUUGAUGUUUUCCUGUGGCCAUAAGAAUCCCAAGCCCUGAGUGAUUGUUUUCUCCUUGCUUGAAGCAAUGAAGUUACAAUAAUGUUUAGUAGAAAAGGAGUGGUUUACCUUUUUCUAAAGAUUAUAUUUUCAGGGUUUUUUUGUUCUUGUUGUUCUGGAAUGUGAUGUCUUGGUCCUCUAGAAAGCAGAUCAAGUGUGACUGAAACCCAGGGCUUAGUUGGUAUCCCUGUUGUGGACAAGGCGAAUAGAAGCCACUUCUUAGUGUAACUAGCUCCUGUUACCUGUGAGCUGAUAGUUACAGUUGACUCUGCUGGCUUUGAGUCAAGACUGGUUCUGCAUGGAGGGGGCCCUGGGGUGCUUCAGUAUUAAAAAGGGCAGUGAAGAGUGAACCCCAGCUUUAAAAACUAUGUGAUCAUCCACAACCUUAAAAGGCUGCCAUUGUGGUCAGAUGGCAACAUGUUUACACAAAGAUAACAGAUCUGUUUAACCAAAGCUUUGAAAUAUGAUGAAGCCGCCAACAUAAGCACUUGCUCACAGAAGUCAGUAUUGCUUCUACUGGAAGAAGGCUCAUGGAUCAGGGUAACCAGGGUCCAGAUGAAGACGGGGUCAGAACUGCAUCAAGUAAUUAAAUUUCCAGUUUGACCUUGGAGUUCUUUCUACUUCCUUUUUUUUUUUUUUUCCCUGUCUGGUACUAAUCCUUUUAGGAUGAAGGGAGGCACAGAAGUUGCUAGAAAUCUCAAGCCCCUGAGUUCUUUACCACUGCUGCAGGAUGGCCCUUCACCUGAAGUUCUUGGUCAGCCCAGCCAUUUUGAAGUUGGAGAGUAGACCUGUGUUCUAGAACCACCAGGGUAAAAAAAUGCACUCUCCGAAGCUGCACUCACAAACACCUCCUGGGUUAGCGGUGUCUCUACCUGCUCUAGGAGCCUCUGGCCUGCCUCAGGAUAAACCAGGUAACCUUGAAUUUCAAGUGUCUGGAAAUUCUAGCUGGAACCUGCCUUUUGUGCUGCUCACACAAGCACCAGGUACUCAGAACCUGUACUGAGUCCAGUGGUUCCUCUUCUUUGUGUACUGAGUAACGUGAAACUUGGCAGUGGUCAAGGCACCAGAGUUCAAGAGCAAGUUCUAAUAUAAACACAAGCAGCCUCACGUUUGCUUCAGGCUCCGAGCAGUUUCUGAUGCUUUCUGCAGGCAUGCAGCUUGUUAGCCCAGCCUGCUUCUUGGAGUCAGGUUGAGCAGCCGCCUGAUUAAAGCAGUACCUAUCCCCCCUUGUGUUGGCAGAACAGGACACAUCAAAUUCCUGGCCUUGAGCUUCAUCUCACCUUUAAAUCUUCCCUUGGCAGUGAGACGCUAUUCCUCACUCCAUAAUUUCAGCUCUGAAACCAAACUACAUCACUGACACCUUCAGAUCAGGGUUCCUGCUGACUGCAUGUGGGAGGUGGCAUGGCUCACAGCUGGGACCUGGCAGAUGGAGAGAGGUGGGUAGGUAAGAUGCUAGGUUCCUAAUAUGUGGUAACAGAUGUGGUUUGGCAUUCAAGGUUUGUUUUUGUUUCUUUCCCCCAGUUUGACUUUUUUUUACCCCCUGGGGAUUAGAGUCACAGGAGAGCUGUGUGUUAACCUGUGUUUUGUGGUGAUGCAUUAGUAAUCAAAUUGCUAAAAGCCCAGAUCUUCUUGUCCUUCACCCUCUCUGCUGGCACUGGCCCAUUGCCUUCACAGUAGAUUAGAACUAGUACUGCCUUGUGAACUUUGGGAAAUAGUGCCACUCAAAAGCGACUUCCUAACUUGAGGAACACCUCCUUUUUAGUUAACUUUCUGGUCCCGGUGCCUUGUUUUAGGAUGCAGCUGGAUUCUGAGCUCAAACUUCCUCUUCCAGAGAACAAAUGUAGUUGUGAGCAGAGACCCUGAUGCUCCCCAGGGAAGUUGCUUCCUGGGUAUGUGACUUGGGCUCCACACUGGGGAAGAACCAUUGGUGUGGACUCUGUGAGGUGAAAGAGCUUCUAGUUGCCAAGGCUGGAUUUGAAUUUUUCAUCUGGCAGAGACCAGAAUGUCACAGCUGACUUUGGAACAUACUCUGGUUCGGCCAGUUCCAUUCAGAGCACCGAGGGAGGGGUGUAUAGCAGGGGAUAUAUUUUAAAAGACCAGGCAACCUUUCAGGAUUAUUUGUGGAGACUUCCAAGGUGAGGAUCAGGAAAGAAAAUGCUUUUUUGUGAGGUCAAGUUCUAAAUCUUGUUUACUAUCACUUAAAAAAUAGUUUUAAGUGGAAGCAAAAGAAAUUGCUUAGAGUUUUGCCUGGGCUAGUGGGAGUUGGUGUAAAUCGUCAAGUGUGUUUGCAUACGAAGGUGAGAAGACCAUCCACUAAAGAGGAAGUCGUUAAAUAAUAUGGAUCUCUGGGCGUUUUAAAACUCAAGCCAUCUGGUCUUUUUUUUUUUUUUUAGUGAAUUUAAAAAAAUUGCUGCUUUAGGAAAAUUAAGUCUUUAUCCAUUAAUUUCCAAAUUACUAUAGAUGAAAAGAUACAAAUUAGACUAAAUUGAAAGCUUUUUGUUAUUCUGUACUUGCAUAGCCUUUCCAAUAUUAAUUUCCGAGGUUGUGUGAGGUUUCCUCUUUGGUGUAAUGGCCACUGACCUUCUCAUGGGAUGCAGGUGAAAUCACUUGUCAACGCAAAAUGUGUUAGAACUUGAUGAAAUAAAGCUUUGAGUUUGAGAAAUAAAGAUUUAUUUAAAAAGAC
rnacentral:lncRNA from 1 species